GGGGAAAAAAAAAAGGCUAUAACCCAGCUCUCUACAGCAGUGCACUGAAUAGUGAUGUGUGAUGUGAAGCAAGGUGAGGGGAAUCAUGUUCACUUCACCACAGACACUAGAGCUUACAGUCAAGGGACAGUUUGCUGAUGUGUGGUAAUGCAGCAGCCAGCUGAAUCUGAGGCAAAAGGACUGGCUAAUGUGGUGAUGCCUGAGCCACCUCCAGAGAGGGCAAAACACAGUGCAGAUGGUGCAGAUGGUGAAAAAUGUAAUAGUAGAGGUGCUUAGGUACCAUGAAAAUGCAAAAAGAGGCAAAUAGUAUCCGGUCAGACAGAUGGCAUAUUUAAAAGUGAGGGGAGACAGAUGCUGAAGAAGCACUUGUUUUCUUCCUUCCUCUGUGUGAAAUGGUAUAUCAAAAUCUACCUCUCAUUUCUACUUCCUUGUUUUUCAACUUCUCACCAUCCUCAGAAUACUUUAAAUUACGAGAGCUGAGAAGGUAUAGUCUUUCAUAUAUGAUUCCUGUGUUUUGGGAAAUAGAAUAUUGACAGUUACCAGUACACGCCUUUGUCACUAUCACCAACUAAGAAUAAUUUAGCCCUUUUGUUCCUUCAGAUCAAU